rnacentral:lncRNA from 10 species
GGUUCACAGGAAGUUGCAAAGGUGGCACUGAGAGGUCCCGUGUGCUCUUCACCCAGUUUCCUCCUGUGGUUGCGUCUUAGGUUGUUUGGUACAGUGGAACCUCGAGCAACACAGAAGUUAAGGGUGUACAGAACUUCAUUGUGUGAACGUGCCAUAGUUUACACAGCUGUGCUCUCAGAUAUGAACACGCAGGGAGCAUCCAAACAUUUGAAAUGACAAACAACAGUGCAGGGCCUAACCUUGUGCCUGUGUAUUUUGGUAUUGCUGAAGCUGUAAUUUCAGGGUAGAUACCUAGAAGAGUGAUCGUAGGUUAGAAAGGCACUGGGAUGAAGAGAUUUAAAAACAAACACAACCAUCAGCCUGCAUAGAGCUUUCAUUCUCCUGGGGGAGAGAGACAGGAAGGGCUCACUGAGAAGCAGCUGACUGAGAGAGGAAGCUGUAAGGACAAGCUGGGAGGGGAGGGUGUACGGCAGGAGGAAUGGGCCAGCAGAGAGCCCGCAGCAGGAGCAGCCUGGCAUGAUGGAGGUGCCAGUGCAGGGAGAGAAGGCGCGAGCAGCGUUGGAGCGGGGUGUGGACCUUGGAGACCCUGUAGGCUACUGAAAGGACUUUGGAUUUGUCCCCGUGAGAAAGGAGAGCCAUGGGAGAGUAAAUCAAAUCCCGCAGAUCACCCAUUCACCAGGUCCCAGGUACCGAACUGAAGAUGGUAGAGGAAAAGUUUUUCCUGCUUAACAUAUUCAACUCUCUACCCUCAAUAUAUUUGGCUGUUAUUAUUCUGGUUUACAUGUAUCAUAAUUUAACCAGUUCCCUACUGGUGGAUGUCUAGGUUUCCCCGAUGUUUUGCUAUUAAAAACACACAUGGUACACGUUUUUCUAGAUCGGGCA